rnacentral:rRNA from 1 species
AUGGCCACCGCCAACCUGUCCAGCGUGGUGGUGGCGGUCGACGGCAGCGAGGAGAGCAUGAAGGUGCUGCGCUGGGCGCUCGAUAGCCUGUGCCUCCGCCCCAACGGCGCGCUCGUCGUGCUCCACGUCCAGCCGCCGCCCGGCAUCGCCGCCGGCCUCAACCCCGGCCCCAUCCCCUUCGGCGGCCCUAGUAAGCGACCCCGCAAUUCCCAAGCCAGUAAGCGGCCCCAGUAUGCGCUGCUCUACCGCUGGUACGCUGCUGCGUCAUGUCCUCGACACUGCCGUGAACAAACAUGGCGAAGGGAUUGUCAAUGGAGUACGAGGAGGAGGUGGCGGAGAAGGUGUGGAGAGGCAGGAGGUCUGAGGUGGCGUCAGCUGGCUGUGGUGGAGGUGUUUAUGCGAGAAGGAGCCGGAGCGAAAGGAGAGGUCACAAUUAGAAAGAAUCGCAAAAAAUCAUAA